UUACGACCACAACACGUUGAUAGACCGGUUCGCGUACGAACAGCGAAGUUAAGCAACAUCGAGCCUGGUCAGUACUUAGACGAGUGACCGUUUGGUAAGACAUGGUACUGUAAG